AACGCGAAGAACCUUACCUGGCCUUGACAUGUCCGGAAUCCUGCAGAGAUGCGGGAGUGCCUUCGGGAAUCGGAACACAGGUGCUGCAUGGCUGUCGUCAGCUCGUGUCGUGAGAUGUUGGGUUAAGUCCCGCAACGAGCGCAACCCUUGUCCUUAGUUGCCAGCACGUAAUGGUGGGAACUCUAAGGAGACUGCCGGUGACAAACCGGAGGAAGGUGGGGAUGACGUCAAGUCCUCAUGGCCCUUACGGCCAGGGCUACACACGUACUACAAUGGUCGGUACAGAGGGUUGCAAAGCCGCGAGGUGGAGCCAAUCCCAGAAAGCCGAUCCCAGUCCGGAUCGAAGUCUGCAACUCGACUUCGUGAAGUCGGAAUCGCUAGUAAUCGCGGAUCAGCUAUGCCGCGGUGAAUACGUUCCCGGGUCUUGUACACACCG
rnacentral:rRNA from 1 species